rnacentral:rRNA from 1 species
AUGACGGGACUAGGCGGCGGCGCGGCGGCCCCCGGGGACUACGUCUACUUCAAGUCCGUCGUCCCGCUCCACAAGAUCUCUAUUGGAUCAAAAUUGUGGAGAUAUUAUGAUUUUGGCCCCAAGGCUGUGCCACCCCUUAUCUGCAUCCCAGGAAUUGCUGGGACGGCUGAUGUAUACUAUAAGCAGAUAAUGUCCCUCUCUAUGAAGGGUUAUCGAGUAAUAUCUAUUGAUGUUCCCCAAGUUUGGAAUCACCAUGAAUGGAUUCAUUCCUUUGAAAAGUUUUUGGACUCCAUGAAUAUCCAUCAUGUUCAUAUCUGUGGUACAUCUCUUGGUGGAUUUCUUGCACAAAUAUUUACUCAAUACCGCCCAAGGAGAGUAAAGUCCUUGGUGCUAUCAAAUACCUUUCUUGAGACACACAAGUUUGCUGCUGCUAUGCCAUGGUCUCCACUUGUCAGUUGGACCCCUUCUUUUUUGCUGAAGAGGUAUCUCUUAACAGGAAUUCGAGAUGGUCCACAUGAACCAUUCAUUGCAGAUUCUGUGGAUUUUGUAGUGGGUCAGGUAGAGACAUUAUCAAGAGAAGACCUUUCGUCAAGGUUGAUAUUAAAUGUCAAUGUUGCAUCAGUUGGGUCAUUAUCGCUACCUGAUUCAUUCAUCACAAUAAUGGAUACGAACGACUACUCUGCUGUUCCUCAGCAGUUGAAGGACCAAGUGAAUGAAAGGUACCCAAGUGCAAAGCGUGCAGUACUGAGGACUGGUGGGGAUUUUCCCUUCCUGUCACGUCCAGAUGAGGUCAAUUUGUACCUUCAGCUACACUUAAGGCGAGUUGGAGUAGAACCAAGACCAGAUCUAGUCCAGGGUUUCACACGGGAUGGUAGCUCCGGGAGCUCAAACGACCACGAAGAUGGAAACAGUUUUGAUGACCAUCCCAGAGAUGAUGGGGACCGUAGUUCAGGUAGUGAUGGCCGUAAGACGGAGCACUCUGAAUCAGGGCCACCUAAUUCAGAUGGACUGGUACCAACAAGCAUAGUGCUAGGUAUGGUCAGUUCAGCUCUGCAUGUUUCCCUAUGUGCGUGCUCAUGA